AUUGAACGCUGGCGGCAGGCCUAACACAUGCAAGUCGAACGAGUAGCGGACGGGUGAGUGAUGUCGGAGACCCUGCCUGAUGGAGGGGGAAGACCACGGGAAACGGUAGCUAAUCCCGCAUACAAUGGUGUGUGCCGAGAUGGGAUGAGCUAGUAGGUGGGGUAAAGGCUCACCGAGGCGACGCUCCCUAGCUGGUCUGAGAGGAGUACCAGCCACACGGGAACUGAGACACGGUCCAGACUCCGACGGGAGGCAGCAGUGGGGAAUAUUGCACAAUGGGCGCAAGCCUGAUGCAGCCAUGCCGCGUGUAUGAAGAAGGCCUUCGGGUUGUAAAGUACUUUCAGCGGGGAGGCGUUACCCGCAGAAGAAGCACCGGCUAACUCCGUGCCAGCAGCCGCGGUAAUAC
rnacentral:rRNA from 1 species